UUAGAAACCUAUCUGCCGUAAGCAGGAUUAUUACAGAAAAAUAGAAGUGUGUAGGAAGGGAGAAUAUAAUCUCACUUUUUUCUUUUAUCCUAACAGACAGCCUCAGUGGGCUAAUAGCCAAGAAGGUAGAAAUAUUAAAGCCCCCUGCACAGACCACAGCAGAUGGAAAAGAUCUGAGUUGGGCAAAACGUUCCUUGCUGAAAGUUGCUCUGUUACAUGAAACCAUUUCAGGAGAGCAGAGCAUCAGGAAAGGAGCAUCAUGCCUUUCGGACACAUUUUUGUGAUACUUCAAAGGAAUUAUUUGCAGCGUCAGUGAUGUAUAUUGCUUCUAGCACUCUGAAAACUUUCCUUCUCAAAUGAGGGUUGGUCCUGUGGAUCACUCUUAGGAGAGUAUCUAAAAUCAGGCCAUUCUGCUGGAGCAGCAGACAGAGCUGCAGUUGGAAGAAGGUAGAGAACAUGGGGGAAUGGAAGCCCCAAGAGGCUUUGCUUGGUUGGCAGUGUCCCACUGCUGCCCUGUGAUUCCCAAGUAGUUUGGAAAGAUCUAAUAUGGAGGUGCAGAGCACCACCGGGCUUUUUGAUAGGGACAAAGUUUCUAGGAACCUCUCACCAGCUGUCAUUUAAAUAGACAGUAGGCAGGAGGAGAGUCAUACAGGGGUUUUACUGGUUUAGGUAUCCUUCAGCAUUAUCAAGGCAACUGCAUUACUUCAUGGAAUGAUUGGUCUUGUAUUCAUCAGAUGAAUGCUAAUAUUCAUAAACUUCUUCCUAGUAAUUCUUAUUAUAGAAUAUGAUGAAAAUAAUAAAUAUUUUGAAGGAGCUUCCAGGACAUCAUUCGGGCUCCACUACUGACUCACUCUGCAACCCUGAGUGAGUCUCUUAAUGCCAGAUACCUCCUGUUUCCUCUCUGAUGAGUUAACAAAUGCAAAAAGACUAAGAAAAAGGAGAAAGCAGUUACAUUUGUAGAUAAUUGGAGCUUAUUUUCAGACCCGUUGAUGCCAAUAGCCCACGGUCAAUAGGUCAUGUGUAGAAUCAUGGAAUCAUUUACGUUGGAAAAGACCUCUAAGAUCAUUUAGUCCAACCAUCCACCUACCUCCAGUACUGCCCACUAAACCAUGUCCCUUAGUACCACAUCUACAAAUCACUUCCAGGGGCAGUGACUCUACCACCUCCCUGGGCAGCCCUUUCUAGUGCUCGAUCAGUCUUUUGGAGAAGAAAAUUUUCCUAAUAUCCAAACUGAAAGGAGAAUUUGAUAGACUCCUCUGUUCUGAGAGCAUCAGAAACGUAAGAAAAAAAAAAACCUAUGAGAUGCUCAGAAUCUAAUUAUAUGGUGGUCUAUAUUUUACAGACACAUCCCUGACAUGGGCUGAGGUCCCAGAACUGAAUACCAGAGGCUGCUGAUACACUGAGCCAUUGGAGUAAUCACAUUUUAAGUAAAAUACAGGUUUUUUUCAGUGCUUGUAAAUAGUAGGACUAGGAAUACAAGAGUUCCAGCUCAUAGAAAGCAAUGCGAUACAUGGUUCAUACCUCAACUUUGCUGAGCAUAAUCUCAACGUGGCACAAGUCUGCUGGUAGGUAAUUGCAGGUAUAGUUGUGACUACCUGUAAAGCUGUAUGAGAAUUGCUAAGUCACAGCCUGAACCAAUGACUGAGCACCUGGUGAAAGGACACAGCCAGCCCCAAUAGUACAGGUAAAAACAGGUUCCACCCCUCUCUAAGCCUCAUUUAAAGACUGGCUGCCACAGGAGAAGGUUCUUUACCAGGAGAUCUUUUGGAGUAUUCAGUGGGCCCUGAUCUUUGGCAUGGUCUCUCCCUGUCUUGGAACAUCAAUACUGCAAGCUCAGAACUGUCAGCUGGAACUGCAGGACACCAACUGCAUUUCUCUGCUCCUGAGACUUGGGGACAGCCCUCAGGGUUGUGACAAAGUAGACACAACUGAGGUGACCACCUUUAAUCUUCUUGAUUUCUUGUUGACAUGAAGAGUCUGUCUUUUGUUUUCCCACACUGUUGGAGGAUGGUAGCAAAAACAUUAAUGGAUGUGGAUCAGCAACAUCACUCACAGAUGGGAGAGGAGGAAGAAUAUCCUGCCCUUCACUACUGAAGUUUAAUACCAACUUGCUGACCAGUCCAUGGCACUCGUAUUCCUGUCAGCAGAUGUGGAUUUUCCAGCAGCAAAUAAGCCACUAAUGGUACAAAGUCCUUCUCAGUAUGGUGUAACACUUGACCAACCCAGGCCAAAAAAUGAAGUCAACUCAUGCAAGUUAAAGUAUCACAUCAGGCCAAAGAGCUUUGUCUUUCUGUCAUCCAGCAAGAACUGUGUAUGGGGGACUCUUCUGUGUAUGCGUUACAAACUAUUGUUGGUCACUUUAACAGAGUAAGAAACCAGAAACAUCAUGGAGGUCAAGUAUGAAGUGCUGCAAGCCUUCAAAUGCAGAGGUCAAGCAUACAAUGAAAACAAAGCAAAGUUGUAAUGCUAGUUGCAAGCUGCAUGGAUAAUCAAUAGCAGAAUGUGAUUCCUUUUAAUCAAGGGUUAUUUUAGAUGGCACCAGAGGAGAAACAAACAAACAAAAAAAAACCUGUAAAUUUGCUAAUUGGAAGUUGAAAUCUGUAGCUGGUAGCAGGCUCCCAGGAAAGAAAUAGAUUGCAUGCAGUAAGAGUAAUGUUCAGCAACAAGUUCACAGCAGUUAGCUCACCAGGGAGAUAAAAGUUCAUACUAAGGUAAUUCUUGUGAACUCUUUUAUAUGCUCAAAGCAGAACAAGGAUAUUGAAGUGCCCUAUCUGGAGGAUUCUCUCCAUGACACAGCAUUCAUGAAUGAAAGCUCCCAAUAGCUAUCCUAGAGCUAGUAAGAUGGAAAGGUAACUAUUUCCCAGAACUUGAAUGGUUUUCCCCCCAAAAAAAGUAUUUGAGCAACUGUUCUUUUGAUAAAACUGUCCUCAGCUGAGGUGAGGUGGGUUACUGUUGUAGCAGUAUGUGUGUAUAUACAGUUUUUUUACCUAAGUUUUUGACAUCUGAGUUACCUCUUGCAGCCUCAGCCCAUCCUUUGCUGCAGGCAUGGUGCUGGGUGAGCCAUUGGGCUGCAGUGUGCAGUCACUCUGUUUUUUUCCUGUUCACUGUGGAUGCUGUUGGUUGGCACGUGGAGGCUCUCUGUUGAUGAAUGAGUGCUGUGAAGCAGAUGGGAUGGAAACAGAGAUGUUCUUGACAUUCAAUCAGAUUGUAAUGAGCAGUUUUUUUUUGUCGCCAAUGGGCUGAAACAUGCCCAUUUCUUAAAAGCUGUUCUUUUUUUCACUGAUGUGACCCAAAGUGACAGCUCCCUCUCCUGAGAUUUCCUCUGACUUGAUUUAUGGAGUCUGAAUUCCAGCUGCAUGCUACUUGGGGCACAGACUGUGUGAUGUUCCAUGUGAGGUGCCCAGACAAAACAACAGCUUUAAAAUAUCAUAAAGCAGCCCCAAAAAGACUUGUCAGAGCUGGAGGGGACAGAUCCAUUGCUUGCAGGCAAGGGGAAAUGAAGAAAUGCAGGAGUUCUGUGCUGUAGGAAAAUCUCCAGCUAAACUGCUUUCUCCCAUGUAUGAUUGCCUACUCUGAGCCUAUUCAAGGAGUCUUUGGGAAAAUACCUAAGAGGAUUUUUCCUUUCAGAUUAAGUGAUUUCUGGAUGAUUUUACCCACAGCACAUCAGCAGGGGGUGAAUUUAGCUGCACUUUGCCUGCACCAGUGAAAGAGAGUCUCAUUCUUUUCAAAAUCAUCCACUAAAUUAAUGAAGACAUGAGCGUACAUUACACUGAAGCUAUUUAGCUUAUUCAAGGCUCCUCUCUCAGAUCAUUUCCUUCUGUGUGUGUCUUUACAUCACAGGCUCUUCUGUUUAUAAUUUCCAAAGUUAGGGAAAAAAAAUAUCUUUUAAAGGAGUUACUCUCAGCAUUCAGCAGUCAGAAACUGUACGUACAGUAGUCAGCCUGAAAUAGAAAGAUGAAAGACCUCGCUCUGCUCAGUUAAUGCAAUAAUGAUCACUCUUUAGCUCAAAUAUAAUAUGAGGUGAGUGCCACAAUUAACAAGGAGUAAGAACCAAAAUGCAAUGUCAAUUUCUGUUUUGUUGUGUUGAAUGAAUUACUAGGAUCUUCAUGCUCUGGAACUUUGGCUAGGAUCAUUCUACUGUCCCGAGGAAAAUAAAAUGUUUGCUAAUGAAUAGAGUGAUGCAAGAUAUCUGCAAAGCAAUAUUGAAAGGAUGCUGCACUGAAGGAAAACAAGGAAGCUACAAAAGCUACAGGAAACUCAUUUUUUGAGGACAAAAUGGAAAAACAUUCUACAGGAAUGUUGUCCUUGUGGCCUGAAAGCCAAUUUGAGUGAUUUGGGUAUGGGAAGUUGUGGGGUGGGCAGGUAACAUGGGCCAUAAGUGCUCUUUUUCUUCACCUAUCUAUAGAUAUUGAGCUUUUCUGCUGUUACGGGGCUGAGAUUCCCAAAUACUUUCAUUGAGAUUUUGUGCUGCUCAAACCUAUUCUGGUCAGAAAGACAAUGCCACCUCCACUGCAGAGCCCAGAACUCCACUUAAGAUAUCAUGUUACAAAGUUAAUAAUCUGCAGAUAGUCCAGAAAUUAGGCCCCUUCUAGCAGUUCCCAUUGAUGUGAUGAGAAAGUGUGACUUGUUUUGCAUUCCUUAAGCACCUGCUUUACAUUCGUUGAGUAGAAUUUAAAAAGAGCUCUCCAGGCCUAUAAAUGAUGAUGGGUGUCAAACAGCCUUGCUAGCACCCUGCCUACCUACAGCCUUCCUAAUCCUGCUCCCAGCUCCUCACCUGCAGCAGCCUGUAUUGAACAGGAGAGCCAGGAGCUGGGCUCCUAUUGCAGCUGCAGAGAAAGGGCUUUGCUCUGGAUGUAAUCUGCAGCACUUCGUAUUUAGGGACCUUGCUUUAACUUUUUACUUGUUUUUCCUUUCUUUUUUUUUUCCCCUCUUUUUUUUCCCAGCUACACUCCUGUCAAAUCCCAGUUUCCAUAUGAAGGUUUGCACCAAGUUGAGUGAAAGCAAUUAGGUAAUCUGUUUGUAACAAAAUACUUUUCUUUUGCUUUAGUAAACUUAGUGCUUCCCUGUAAAAACAAACUCUUUAAUUACUCAGGUGUGACUACUCACCAUAUUAAAUCACCAUACUACCUCAGCAUAAUAAUACAGUUCUUUACAAUUUCAUUUUAGAAUCGCUCUUCUUUUGCUGACAUUUAAUUUUGCACAGGAGUAACACUAUCAUAAAAGAGCCCAGGUGCAAAAAUAUUAUGUUUUUAGUAAUGAUGUACUGUCCAUUACUAUUAAAAACUAGAAAAGCUAUCAGCGCUGCUUCAUAUCAACUGGGAUUACUUAGCUUACAUGUUUAAGAGGAAUCAUUUAAGAGCUCUGUUGCAGCACAGGUGCCUGUGCACCUCUUCUACACCUGGCCAUUUGACAAUAUACUUUCAUAUGUGAGGUUUCAAACUUUCCCACAGGUAAAUAUUUUUUUAAUUUUUCUGCUCAAAAUGGCAAACACAAAGUUUUUGCAGUAGGGAAGAGGAAGGGCAAGAAUGAGUUGCGUGUUUAGUGAAUGCCGUUUUUAGAGGUUUGUAUCCUUAGCUUUUUGGAUGAUGAUUUGCCUUCCUGAGGCUCUUCUGACAGGAGAAAUUACAACUGUAGUUGCUUGCAGUUCUGUCUUCAUUUGCUGUGGUAUUGAUUCUUUAUAAUAGAACUAGAAAGAUGUUCAGCUUCACUGAAACCUACAGCAAGACAUGCUGGAAUUAAUCUCUCCAACCUUCAACAGUGCAGUUUAGCAAUCAGGUAACCAGUAACUAAGAGGCUAGAUAUAUACUUUCACACAUGGAGAAACAUAACCUCCAGGGAAUGAUUUGUAUCAUUCUGAUGUAGGUUUUUUUAUAGAGUAGGAAACACCUGCAAUAAGGCUGCAAUAUGGUUGUAUGCUGCCAUACAACCAGAGCUUCAUUCCUCAGGCAGAGGUGUUGGAGCAAAGGAGAAGGAGCUGCAGUUUUCUGUCCUUUGCCAUUCAUCCAGAACUCCGUAGCUUCCAGGUUUGUCUCUUUCGUCUCCUUUCUACUGGCAUUUUAGCACAUCUGGAUCUCUGAGUUUUCUCUUUAUGUAAAAAUUGCCUUUACUUUUUUUUCCUCCUUGAUUUCUCUCAGAAAGUUUCUGCAUGUUCUUAUCUGCAGCUCCGAUCUCCAUUUGCUGCUCUUAUUUUUGAGUGGUUUGCAUGGUGGUUUCUCCUGUCAUGUUUUUAUCAGGCAUCCUCCAGUAACAAUCCUGCUGUUUUGCCCCAGGUUCUGUUUACCUUCUCUAUCUGCUCUGGUCCUCAUGUUUUAAGGCUGUUGGAGUUCUCAUAAUUGCAAGGUUUGGGCCUUUUUCAAAUGGUUGGUUUUUUAUCUUACUCAGUGUACGUUUCUAUUUUCUCCCUUCAUUGGACUGUUCAUUUUUAAAAGUCUUUUAAUCAAAUGAAAGGAAUUAAAAAUGAGGAGGGAAAACCCAAGAAUUUAAAUUCCAGUCUUUUUUUCUACCACAAAGAACCAAGAAUUCUUUCUAUUUAAGACAGUCACAGAUUUUAUCAUUGUGACUGGUUUCCAUUAACUUUGUAAGUAGAAAGACGUUUAGCAAAGUUGAAAGCUGUCUCUUAUGUGAUGACAGACUUUGCCUGGUUUAGUAUUUGUACUGGUUAACUACCAAAUCCUGAGUCUACUGCUGUCUACAGCCAACAUUUAGUGUUCGCUAAAAGAAACAUGACUUAGAAAUAUAUCUUCCAUACUAAGCUUUUGAAAACACACAGUAUUUUGAGUUAGAGAAACAACAGUUUUAACACGUGAAAAGAAAUGUUACCACAAGGCCUCCUUGAGAGAAAGAAACAACAGAAAAGGGUGCAAAGGGUCGGGAAGAAAGCAUGAUACAUGUUCAGCUGCCUCAUCUAUAUACAAGAUAACCUAUUAAUACUCAUUCAUACAACUAAAGCAGCAUGAACUGGUUGUAUGGAUUGACAAACUGGUUAAACCAACAAUGGCACCAUGUUGGGAUGCAGUAACACCAAGUGGGAUUUUGUUUCUGGAAGUCAAGGCUCUGUGGAUGCCUGUUGGAGCUCUAUAGUCUUUGCCAUCGCUGUGCUACCAUAGCCUAUUUAGUAUUCAACAAAAGAAGUCUCAGCUGGUCUUUCCCAUUUCAGUUCACACAAAUCAGGUUUGGAUAGAGGACUGAGGGGAGAGAAAAGCUUCCAUCUCUUAUCUGUCAGGAUUUUUCUUUUUGCAGUUUCUUGAGAAGACUUUUGUAAUACAAAAGUUCUCUGAUGUCCUUCCACGCUGCUUCUUCCUUUCACAUCUGACCUUGUAGGAUCACUGAAUGUCUUGAGCUGGAAGGGAUCCACAUCCUCAGGCUGCUGCCCGUCAUCUUGGCCUGUCCUUGAGCCCCUGGGCUGAGGACUCUGAGAGGGCUUAGGCAAACCUAAUGUUAUCCAACCCCUUCUGCUCUGCAAGGCUGCAACUCUGGCUUUCAAUCUUCACCCUUGCUUCUACUCAGGUACAACUGUUACUAUUUUCACUCUUAGUUUAAUAUCGGAGAAAGCUUUCCCUAAUUAAUCAUUAGAAACAGAGAAUGCAUAAUGCAUUCAGAACUGCAAAAACUUAAUUCUGGUUAAUUUUUUACUCUCUGAGUAAAGUCAUUAUGCUGAUCUUUCAAUCAAGAACACCCAUUUUGUUUAUUUUUAACGUUCCUUUCAUUACGUUAUGAGCUUCUUAAGGAUAAUGAAAUAAUUGCUUGUGUCUUUGAUUGAUCUUUGUUUUGAAUGGAAGCUUUAAUAGUGUUAUUUCUGGCACAGGCUUACAGUAUAAUACAACUGAAGGAAAUCAUGACACUAAAACACUUUAAAGCACACGUUCCAAUAAUUAGACCUACAAUCCUUGUCAGCCAUAGGACUGUACAGGGAGGAGUUCCUGUUACAAUUUAUGAGGAAAGAAUUCAUGCUAUUUUGCUUAAUAAAGCAAAAAAUAUUACUAAUGACAUUUAUUAAUAGCUGUAGCAAUCUGUGAACAAACUCCUUCUCCAGGCAGCUCUGGAAAGACAUUCACAUGCUACAGAGAAAUCCCAAAUUCUCAAAUCCAAAUUUACUUUUUAACACUAAAACAUGCCAGAUGUAUGGUAACUUGGGAUCUAAGUUCAUCCUGUGUGAAAGAUGUUGAGGUUCCUCACAUCUGGAAAUGUAUGUUCCUCCUGGAUCUCCUACUGAAGACCCCUUCCAGCUGUUCCCUGACAUCUCAGUACCCCUGGUUCCCUGUCAUUAGGACCAGCACCUGGUCAAGAGAAUGGCUUCAACUGCACUGAGUGCACAGUGGAAGCUGACAAACUGCACAGAUUUGCAAGAAAAUUUCUGGAAGGCUCUGAAAGUAAUGCCUCCUAUUUUAUUAUGUUGGCCCAUGAUAUCAGAGGUACAGCAGUGGAGGCUGAACCUUCCUAUCAAUAUUCAUUACGUUUUGUUGCCGUGUGAUGGCAGCAGAGGGGCAGUCUGUCACAAUGACGUCUGAUAUGGAAGUGUGGAUGAAGAAAGAACAGUGAAUGUCAGCACAGUGAGGACUGAGUGAUGCAUUUCAGAAGUGUCUGAAAUAUAAUAGCCUGUCACAUAAGAGAUACCAAGUUGUCUGAAGUUUAGAAACAAAUUCAUGUUUUGAGGACUAAUUAAAUGUCUUUAAAAUCAUUCAAGUUUUAAUAACACUCAGUGCCCAUCUCUUGCUCUCAAAAAUGAACUGCAUUUGCAUCCUUGGUAAACCGGAUGCUUCUGUGUUGUAGCAGUAAUCAUUGUUGGAAGCAGGAAUCGUUUUAUUCAGCCAACAAGAGGAAAGAAGCCUUAGAGCGAAGGACAGCAUGUGUCUCACAGCAUAUCAAGGGAAAGUAGUAGAGAGAAGUGCUUUAACAAGAUACAGGCUCUCAGAAGAGUUCUAUAGUAUACAACUCUGUGAUAUCACAUGAUGGAGGAAAUUUUGAUAUAAUUGGGUAUCUGUGAAGAGUGGAUAUGCGUGCACACAAAUUAGAAGUGGAAAGGAAAGGAACAACAGAAAAUCAGAAACUAAAUGCACAUUUUUUCAGCUUGAAAUACAGCUAUGUUCCUGUACUGAUGGUUAGAGCAUAAG